UACGUAGGGGGCUAGCGUUGUCCGGAAUCAUUGGGCGUAAAGCGCGUGUAGGCGGUUCGGUAAGUCCGCUGUGAAAGUCCAGGGCUCAACCCUGGGAUGCCGGUCGAUACUGCCGGACUAGAGUUCGGAAGAGGCGAGUGGAAUUCCCGGUGUAGCGGUGAAAUGCGCAGAUAUCGGGAGGAACACCUAUGGCGAAGGCAGCUCGCUGGGACGUUACUGACGCU
rnacentral:rRNA from 1 species